rnacentral:lncRNA from 1 species
CUCAGCCAAAGGUACAUCAACAGAAGCUGCACCUCAGUGGUUGGUCACCUUCUCACAGCCACUAAGGCCACUCCAAUUUAUCUCCUUUUAUUCCACCUUAGAGGGGAUGAGUAGUGACAACUAUACCAAUCUAGACACCUUGUAAAAAUUAAUAAGUUACUCAAAAAGGUCCUGAGGUCUUCCCCCAAACUAUAAUGAUUAAUUAUACUAUGUUAGUAUAAACAAGUCUUACUUUUCUGUAAAGAAUGACAAAAAUCCCUGCAUUCAACAGCGUUCUAGUCAAUUAAAAAUUAUAGAUUUCAUUCAAUUAAUAGUCUAAUUCAAUGGAUGUUUAUUAAAUAAUAGCCAUGUAAAAUGUAGUGGGCUGAGUUUAAUGGUCCUCAAAUAAGCUUACAAUCUAUUCAGGUAGUAACAGUCACUAUACAUUAAAAUGAACAAGAAAACAAUUACUUACAGCAAUCAUUAGCAAACAGUGUAAGAAAUCUCUACCCAAACGUGUUAAGACACCACAAAUCUCUAACAGCAGCACACAGAAUAUAUCUGAUUGAUUAAUAUAUACAUGUAUGGCUUAUUUAUUGGAUCUUUAAAGAAGAAAAGAAUUUUUUCUUUACUGUAUUAGUAUCAUUUUAAUAUUCUAGGAU